rnacentral:rRNA from 1 species
CCUACGGGAGGCAGCAGUGGGGAAUAUUGCACAAUGGGCGCAAGCCUGAUGCAGCGACGCCGCGUGAGGGAUGACGGCCUUCGGGUUGUAAACCUCUUUCAGCAGGGACGAAGCGCAAGUGACGGUACCUGCAGAAGAAGCACCGGCCAACUACGUGCCAGCAGCCGCGGUAAUACGUAGGGUGCAAGCGUUGUCCGGAAUUACUGGGCGUAAAGAGCUCGUAGGCGGUUUGUCGCGUCGUCUGUGAAAACCCAGCAGCUCAACUGUUGGCUUGCAGGCGAUACGGGCAGACUUGAGUAUUUCAGGGGAGACUGGAAUUCCUGGUGUAGCGGUGAAAUGCGCAGAUAUCAGGAGGAACACCGGUGGCGAAGGCGGGUCUCUGGGAAAUAACUGACGCUGAGGAGCGAAAGCGUGGGUAGCGAACAGGAUUAGAUACCCUGGUAGUCCACGCCGUAAACGGUGGGCGCUAGGUGUGGGUUUCCUUCCACGGGAUCCGUGCCGUAGCUAACGCAUUAAGCGCCCCGCCUGGGGAGUACGGCCGCAAGGCUAAAACGUCAAAGGAUUGACGGCUGNGAGNGCGACGCGACGACGAGGGAGAGG